CAUAGGUUAAUGAGGCGAACCGGGGGAACUGAAACAUCUAAGUACCCCGAGGAAAAGAAAUCAACCGAGAUUCCCCCAGUAGCGGCGAGCGAACGGGGAGGAGCCCAGAGCCUGAAUCAGUGUGUGUGUUAGUGGAAGCGUCUGGAAAGGCGCGCGAUACAGGGUGACAGCCCCGUACACAAAAAUGCACAUAUUGUGAGCUCGAUGAGUAGGGCGGGACACGUGGUAUCCUGUCUGAAUAUGGGGGGACCAUCCUCCAAGGCUAAAUACUCCUGACUGACCGAUAGUGAACCAGUACCGUGAGGGAAAGGCGAAAAGAACCCCGGCGAGGGGAGUGAAAAAGAACCUGAAACCGUGUACGUACAAGCAGUGGGAGCCUCUUUAUGGGGUGACUGCGUACCUUUUGUAUAAUGGGUCAGCGACUUAUAUUCUGUAGCAAGGUUAACCGAAUAGGGGAGCCGAAGGGAAACCGAGUCUUAACUGGGCGUUAAGUUGCAGGGUAUAGACCCGAAACCCGGUGAUCUAGCCAUGGGCAGGUUGAAGGUUGGGUAACACUAACUGGAGGACCGAACCGACUAAUGUUGAAAAAUUAGCGGAUGACUUGUGGCUGGGGGUGAAAGGCCAAUCAAACCGGGAGAUAGCUGGUUCUCCCCGAAAGCUAUUUAGGUAGCGCCUCGUGAAUUCAUCUCCGGGGGUAGAGCACUGUUUCGGCAAGGGGGUCAUCCCGACUUACCAACCCGAUGCAAACUGCGAAUACCGGAGAAUGUUAUCACGGGAGACACACGGCGGGUGCUAACGUCCGUCGUGAAGAGGGAAACAACCCAGACCGCCAGCUAAGGUCCCAAAGUCAUGGUUAAGUGGGAAACGAUGUGGGAAGGCCCAGACAGCCAGGAUGUUGGCUUAGAAGCAGCCAUCAUUUAAAGAAAGCGUAAUAGCUCACUGGUCGAGUCGGCCUGCGCGGAAGAUGUAACGGGGCUAAACCAUGCACCGAAGCUGCGGCAGCGACACUAUGUGUUGUUGGGUAGGGGAGCGUUCUGUAAGCCUGUGAAGGUGGCCUGUGAGGGUUGCUGGAGGUAUCAGAAGUGCGAAUGCUGACAUAAGUAACGAUAAAGCGGGUGAAAAGCCCGCUCGCCGGAAGACCAAGGGUUCCUGUCCAACGUUAAUCGGGGCAGGGUGAGUCGACCCCUAAGGCGAGGCCGAAAGGCGUAGUCGAUGGGAAACAGGUUAAUAUUCCUGUACUUGGUGUUACUGCGAAGGGGGGACGGAGAAGGCUAUGUUGGCCGGGCGACGGUUGUCCCGGUUUAAGCGUGUAGGCUGGUUUUCCAGGCAAAUCCGGAAAACCAAGGCUGAGGCGUGAUGACGAGGCACUACGGUGCUGAAGCGACAAAUGCCCUGCUUCCAGGAAAAGCCUCUAAGCAUCAGGUAACAUCAAAUCGUACCCCAAACCGACACAGGUGGUCAGGUAGAGAAUACCAAGGCGCUUGAGAGAACUCGGGUGAAGGAACUAGGCAAAAUGGUGCCGUAACUUCGGGAGAAGGCACGCUGAUAUGUAGGUGAAGCGACUUGCUCGUGGAGCUGAAAUCAGUCGAAGAUACCAGCUGGCUGCAACUGUUUAUUAAAAACACAGCACUGUGCAAACACGAAAGUGGACGUAUACGGUGUGACGCCUGCCCGGUGCCGGAAGGUUAAUUGAUGGGGUUAGCGGUAACGCGAAGCUCUUGAUCGAAGCCCCGGUAAACGGCGGCCGUAACUAUAACGGUCCUAAGGUAGCGAAAUUCCUUGUCGGGUAAGUUCCGACCUGCACGAAUGGCGUAAUGAUGGCCAGGCUGUCUCCACCCGAGACUCAGUGAAAUUGAACUCGCUGUGAAGAUGCAGUGUACCCGCGGCAAGACGGAAAGACCCCGUGAACCUUUACUAUAGCUUGACACUGAACAUUGAGCCUUGAUGUGUAGGAUAGGUGGGAGGCUUUGAAGUGUGGACGCCAGUCUGCAUGGAGCCGACCUUGAAAUACCACCCUUUAAUGUUUGAUGUUCUAACGUUGGCCCGUAAUCCGGGUUGCGGACAGUGUCUGGUGGGUAGUUUGACUGGGGCGGUCUCCUCCUAAAGAGUAACGGAGGAGCACGAAGGUUGGCUAAUCCUGGUCGGACAUCAGGAGGUUAGUGCAAUGGCAUAAGCCAGCUUGACUGCGAGCGUGACGGCGCGAGCAGGUGCGAAAGCAGGUCAUAGUGAUCCGGUGGUUCUGAAUGGAAGGGCCAUCGCUCAACGGAUAAAAGGUACUCCGGGGAUAACAGGCUGAUACCGCCCAAGAGUUCAUAUCGACGGCGGUGUUUGGCACCUCGAUGUCGGCUCAUCACAUCCUGGGGCUGAAGUAGGUCCCAAGGGUAUGGCUGUUCGCCAUUUAAAGUGGUACGCGAGCUGGGUUUAGAACGUCGUGAGACAGUUCGGUCCCUAUCUGCCGUGGGCGCUGGAGAACUGAGGGGGGCUGCUCCUAGUACGAGAGGACCGGAGUGGACGCAUCACUGGUGUUCGGGUUGUCAUGCCAAUGGCACUGCCCGGUAGCUAAAUGCGGAAGAGAUAAGUGCUGAAAGCAUCUAAGCACGAAACUUGCCCCGAGAUGAGUUCUCCCUGACUCCUUGAGA
rnacentral:rRNA from 1 species